GGCCAGGAUCGCUUACUGGGGGGAAGCCAGCUGCCGUGUCAUGAGUGCCCACUGUGGAAAUGAACUGAAACCUCCUGCCGACAGCCACCCAGGUGAGCUUGGAAUUGGAUGCUCCAGUCCAGCCAAACCCUCAGUUUACUGUAACCCCAGUUGACAGCUUGGCUACUACCUCCCGGGACACCCUGAAGCAGAACCACCCAGCUAAGCUCCUCCUGAAUUCCUGACUCACAGAAACUAUGCAAGAUAAUAAAUAUUUGUUGUUUUAUCUCUUUAAGUUUUGCGGUAAUUUGUUAUGAAGCAAUA
rnacentral:lncRNA from 1 species